UACGUAGGGGGCAAGCGUUGUCCGGAAUCAUUGGGCGUAAAGCGCGUGUAGGCGGCUCGGUAAGUCCGCUCUGAAAGUCCAGGGCUCAACCCUGGGAUGCGGGUGGAUACUGCCGGGCUCGAGUCCGGAAGAGGCGAGUGGAAUUCCCGGUGUAGCGGUGAAAUGCGCAGAUAUCGGGAGGAACAUCAAUGGCGAAGGCAGCUCGCUGGGACGUGACUGACGCUGAGACGCGAAAGCGUGGGGAGCAAACAGG
rnacentral:rRNA from 1 species